ACUAAUAAACCAAACAUAGCACGAUUGAGUCAUUUACACCAUAAUGAUAGCCCGGUUUUGCUUAAAAUAAAACCACCAUUUGGUCCCAACCUCAAAACUCCUAGCUAGUAGCUACAUAAUAUUACUACAUCUCUUUACCACAAUUAUACGCACCUUUUAAUUUACAAGAAAUAGAGAGAGAAAUUUCUCUUGUGACUUCAUUUCAGUUCAUCUGAUAGUUAUGAUUAGAGGAAGAAGCACGUUUAAUGAUGAUUUAUUAUAGUUCCAAUUGAUUAAUUAAUGAGGUCUUUGUUCCAUAUUAUUGCAUGCCCAUGCAGAAUAAGAAUUAAAUUGCCGGUUGAUCCAUAUUUGACGUAUACCCUCAAGUCUUUGCCGAAGGAUAGCCGAUUCGGUCCUCAGCCGCUCGUUCUCACACUGGACCACUUGGCACUGGUGAGUGAUUAACCGUAACCGGUUCAUUAUUUCCCGGUUCCCUACUUUAAGCCGGUUCGCUUGGUUCCGCAGGUUUUCCAGAUGCUUUUGCUUUCGCAUGCGAGACCGCCUUGCUGAUUCCCGGUUCGAUACCAUACGUCGACGCUUCCUCUCAUCCAUGUCACGGUUCGAUGUCGUGCGCUGCCGCUUUCUCUCGUCAGGACACCGGUUCGACUUA
rnacentral:lncRNA from 1 species